rnacentral:rRNA from 1 species
GAAUGCUGACAUAAGUAACGAUAAAGCGGGUGAAAAGCCCGCUCGCCGGAAGACCAAGGGUUCCUGUCCAACGUUAAUCGGGGCAGGGUGAGUCGACCCCUAAGGCGAGGCCGAAAGGCGUAGUCGAUGGGAAACAGGUUAAUAUUCCUGUACUUGGUGUUACUGCGAAGGGGGGACGGAGAAGGCUAUGUUGGCCGGGCGACGGUUGUCCCGGUUUAAGCGUGUAGGCUGGUUUUCCAGGCAAAUCCGGAAAACCAAGGCUGAGGCGUGAUGACGAGGCACUACGGUGCUGAAGCGACAAAUGCCCUGCUUCCAGGAAAAGCCUCUAAGCAUCAGGUAACAUCAAAUCGUACCCCAAACCGACACAGGUGGUCAGGUAGAGAAUACCAAGGCGCUUGAGAGAACUCGGGUGAAGGAACUAGGCAAAAUGGUGCCGUAACUUCGGGAGAAGGCACGCUGAUAUGUAGGUGAAGCGACUUGCUCGUGGAGCUGAAAUCAGUCGAAGAUACCAGCUGGCUGCAACUGUUUAUUAAAAACACAGCACUGUGCAAACACGAAAGUGGACGUAUACGGUGUGACGCCUGCCCGGUGCCGGAAGGUU